rnacentral:rRNA from 1 species
CACGUAGGGCGCAAGCGUUGUCCGGAAUUAUUGGGCGUAAAGAGCUCGUAGGCGGUCUGUUGCGUCCGCUGUGAAAACUCGGGGCUUAACCCCGAGCCUGCAGUGGAUACGGGCAGACUAGAGGUAGGUAGGGGAGAAUGGAAUUCCCGGUGUAGCGGUGAAAUGCGCAGAUAUCAGGAGGAACACCGGUGGCGAAGGCGGUUCUCUGGGCCUUACCUGACGCUGAGGAGCGAAAGCGUGGGGAGCGAACAGG